rnacentral:lncRNA from 1 species
CAAGUGGUGGGAAAAUACCUAACUGGACAAGAGGUACAUUUAUCCAACGGAAAAGAGAAAGAGGAAACUAUCCCAGGUUACCAGCUAACCUUUGAGGACACCAGCUGCUUCUCGUCAGGAAGCACCGGGAGCCACUCCCCUCUUCCCGACUCCAGACUCCAGACUGGGGGACCGGCUCUCCCUUCUUCCCACGUCUCCUGGACCAAGCGGCUCUGCAUCCACCCAGGAAGGAGAGCCUUGAGGUUUCUUGCAAGAACCUGAGGGGCGUCUCCGGAGUCCAAGAAUACCGGCGGGACCGACGGAGUCUGCUCAGCCCAGCCUAAGGAGGAAGUUCCACUUUCAUCUGUUCAGUUCUGGGCUCAAGAGGGAGCCGUUUGGAGGAAGAGUUCGGUGGCGAGAACUGGUGGAGUAGAUGGAGGCGGCCAGCACAGCCAGCCUGGAGAUGCCGAGGCCGCCCCCGAACCUCUGCCCACGCUGCCGUGCCCACCGGACGUCAUUCGCACUCCUCCAGGAAAGUGGUCCUCGAUCUUCUCCCAACAGCCCUCCCACCUCCAGCCCUGAGUCCAGUUCUUGAAUUCUGUGUGUGUGUGUGUGUGUGUGACAGCUCCACACUCAGGGCUACUGGCCAUCCUUCCAGACAACUCAGAUUUCCCUAAAUUGUGCACCUCAACCAAAUAAAACAGCCAG